rnacentral:misc_RNA from 1 species
UCCGGCUUGUCGCCGGCGGUCCCUUUAGAGUUCCCACCAUUACGUGCUGGCAACUAAGGACAAGGGUUGCGCUCGUUGCGGGACUUAACCCAACAUCUCACGACACGAGCUGACGACAGCCAUGCAGCACCUGUGUUCCGAUUCCCGAAGGCACUCCCGCAUCUCUGCGGGAUAGCAGUGUUUCCACCGCCGUUAACCGGCCGUUCGAGCCCAGGUAAGGUUCUUCGCGUUGCGUCGAAUUGAACCACACGCUCCACCGCUUGUGCGGGCCCCCGUCAAUUCCUUUGAGUUUCAGCCUUGCGACUGUACUCCCCAGGCGGCAUAUUUAACGCGUUAGCUCCGGCACAGAUCAACUGAAUGACCUACACCAAAUAUGCAUCGUUUAGGGCGUGGACUAC